rnacentral:rRNA from 1 species
GACGAACGCUGGCGGCGUGCUUAACACAUGCAAGUCGAGCGGAAAGGCCCUUCGGGGUACUCGAGCGGCGAACGGGUGAGUAACACGUGAGUAACCUGCCCCAGACUUUGGGAUAACCCUCGGAAACGGGGGCUAAUACCGGAUACGACACAGCUUCGCAUGGGGUCUGUGUGGAAAGUUUUUCGGUUUGGGAUGGGCUCGCGGCCUAUCAGCUUGUUGGUGGGGUGAUGGCCUACCAAGGCGACGACGGGUAGCCGGCCUGAGAGGGCGACCGGCCACACUGGGACUGAGACACGGACCAGACUCCUACGGGAGGCAGCAGUGGGGAAUAUUGCACAAUGGGCGGAAGCCUGAUGCAGCGACGCCGCGUGAGGGAUGACGGCCUUCGGGUUGUAAACCUCUUUCAGCAGGGACGAAGCGUAAGUGACGGUACCUGCAGAAGAAGCGCCGGCCAACUACGUG